GACGAACGCUGGCGGCGUGCUUAACACAUGCAAGUCGAGCGGUAAGGCCCUUUCGGGGGUACACGAGCGGCGAGCGGGUGAGUAACACGUGGGUGACCUGCCCUCAGCUCUGGGAUAAGCCUGGGAAACCGGGUCUAAUACCGGAUAUGACUCCAUGACGCAUGUUGUGGGGUGGAAAGCCUUGUGCGGCUGAGGAUGGGCCCGCGGCCUAUCAGCUUGUUGGGGGGUGAUGGCCUACCAAGGCGACGACGGGUAGCCGGCCUGAGAGGGCGACCGGCCACACUGGGACUGAGACACGGCCCAGACUCCUACGGGAGGCAGCAGUGGGGAAUCUUGCGCAAUGGGCGAAAGCCUGACGCAGCGACGCCGCGUGAGGGAUGACGGCCU
rnacentral:rRNA from 1 species